UAGAAAUUGUAUUUCAGGUCAAUGAAAAUUUUGGAGGGAUGAAGAAUGGAGAACAGGCGAGCUCACGCUGCUGUGUUCUUUCACGAUUCAGAAAUCUUGUUUCUGUUAUUGCAAUUUCCUCAGAAUUUGAAGUUUGAUCGAGCGCUGGCUUAGAUUUUAGAAUGCGGAGUUUAGUUUCGAAUUCGUCUCACAACUUUGCAUUAAACUUCUCUACGGACAGUUCGUGGGAUUAUGAAAAUCUGUCCGAAUGUUAAGGGUUUAUGGAAAUUUGCGACAGUCGUGAUGGUACUAGUAUGCUGUGUUCUUCAGGGACGAAGGUUUUGAUGGUAGAAACAUUGAUGAGAUGUUUGAGAAGUGUAGGCGUUUGGAAGCUAUGCAGGAUGAAAGAGCUUCUCAAAACUGGGAAUAUUUGGAGAGAAUUGGCAUUCAAAAGAGGAAGCUAUAUCAGAUCCCGCAUUGGUCGGAGAAAGGAACGAAACAUUCCUUUUACAAGGGUGUAGAAACCUCUUCCCAGUAGAUGCGUUUUAAAGCA